AGUCCAAAUGUCCCAUCUCCGGUAGCCAUUAGCGUAAUGACCGGUGAUGCUAUGAUUGGACGUAGAAUAAGAUCAUUCCAUUUCAUAUCCUGUUAGUAACUGUGGUUCCUAUUUUCUUUGGAUCCACGGUGUUGAUAUCUAGGAUUACAUAU